GCACUGCUGACGAGUCCCAAACAGGACGCAAUAGCUAUCCGGUGC
rnacentral:hammerhead_ribozyme from 1 species